UACGUAGGGUGCGAGCGUUGUCCGGAAUUACUGGGCGUAAAGAGCUCGUAGGUGGUUUGUCGCGUUGUUCGUGAAAACUCACAGCUCAACUGUGGGCGUGCGGGCGAUACGGGCAGACUAGAGUACUGCAGGGGAGACUGGAAUUCCUGGUGUAGCGGUGGAAUGCGCAGAUAUCAGGAGGAACACCGGUGGCGAAGGCGGGCCUCUGGGACGGUACUGACGCUGAGACGCGAAAGCGUGGGGAGCGAACAGG
rnacentral:rRNA from 1 species